rnacentral:rRNA from 1 species
AUACUCCUGACUGACCGAUAGUGAACCAGUACCGUGAGGGAAAGGCGAAAAGAACCCCGGCGAGGGGAGUGAAAAAGAACCUGAAACCGUGUACGUACAAGCAGUGGGAGCACGCUUAGGCGUGUGACUGCGUACCUUUUGUAUAAUGGGUCAGCGACUUAUAUUCUGUAGCAAGGUUAACCGAAUAGGGGAGCCGAAGGGAAACCGAGUCUUAACUGGGCGUUAAGUUGCAGGGUAUAGACCCGAAACCCGGUGAUCUAGCCAUGGGCAGGUUGAAGGUUGGGUAACACUAACUGGAGGACCGAACCGACUAAUGUUGAAAAAUUAGCGGAUGACUUGUGGCUGGGGGUGAAAGGCCAAUCAAACCGGGAGAUAGCUGGUUCUCCCCGAAAGCUAUUUAGGUAGCGCCUCGUGAAUUCAUCUCCGGGGGUAGAGCACUGUUUCGGCAAGGGGGUCAUCCCGACUUACCAACCCGAUGCAAACUGCGAAUACCGGAGAAUGUUAUCACGGGAGACACACGGCGGGUGCUAACGUCCGUCGUGAAGAGGGAAACAACCCAGACCGCCAGCUAAGGUCCCAAAGUCAUGGUUAAGUGGGAAACGAUGUGGGAAGGCCCAGACAGCCAGGAUGUUGGCUUAGAAGCAGCCAUCAUUUAAAGA